GACGAACCGUGCAAACGUUGUUCGGAAUCACUGGGCUUAAAGGGCGCGUAGGCGGGCCGGCCAGUCUGUGGUGAAAGCCCCCAGCUCAACUGGGGAAGUGCCGUGGAUACUGCCGGCCUGGAGGAGGGUAGGGGCAUCUGGAGCGCUGGGUGGAGCGGUGAAAUGCGUUGAUAUCCAGCGGAACUCCGGUGGCGAAGGCGAGGUGCUGGACCCUUUCUGACGCUGAGUGCGCGAAAGCCAGGGGAGCAAACGGG
rnacentral:rRNA from 1 species